GACAGAGGGUGCAAACGUUGUUCGGAAUUACUGGGCGUAAAGGGCUUGUAGGUGGCCAACUAAGUCAGACGUGAAAUCCCUCGGCUUAACCGGGGAACUGCGUCUGAUACUGGAUGGCUUGAGUUUGGGAGAGGGACGCGGAAUUCCAGGUGUAGCGGUGAAAUGCGUAGAUAUCUGGAGGAACACCGGUGGCGAAGGCGGCGUCCUGGACCAACACUGACACUGAAAAGCGAAAGCCAGGGGAGCAAACGGG
rnacentral:rRNA from 1 species